GUGCUAAACCUCUGAGCCACCCAGGGAUCCCCAUUAUUGCCUAUUUUAAAACGGAAGAGGGAAACCCAGGAAGAAGAGUGUGCCACCCAUCUACACAUGGAAGGACACGGGUCUAUACUACCACCGGUACCUCCAGGAAGUCAUCAACGUGCUGGAGACAGAUGGGCAUUUCCGAGAGAAGCUACAGGCUGCCAAUGCCGAGGACAUCAAGGUGCGGCUGGGUGCAAGCCAGGUGGGAGGGCACGAGGGGUGCUCUCUCGGAGGACAGAGUCCAGGGAAGGAGCGGUUUCCCUGACUGGGCCAUGGGGCUCUGGUGCUCACAAAACGGAGGAAGAGGAAGGGCUUCUUUUCGGUGCCACGCAGCUGGGAAGGGAUUUGAGGAACGCAGAAUUAAGCAUGUAUGCAGAUGGCACAGGCUCCCAGUGUCAGCUCUACCCUUAUGUGCUGUGUGACCACCGUGUGCUGUGCCUCAGUUUCCCCAUCUGUAAGAUGGGGGUAACAGCAGAACCUGCUUCACGGGGUUCAAGUUAGGAUCAUCCAAGGUAAGACACGUAAAGGGCUGACACACGCAAGGUAGCAUUUCUUGUGCCUGCCAUGUGCAUGUGGUUCAAAUGAGUGCUUGGUGUAGUGUGCUCUGCUCAGGGAAAAAUUGAAAACAUAGGAGGUGCUCUUAUGUCUCGCAUCACCUCCAGCUCAUGUGAGGCUUCCAGGGGGAUAAGACUGCCCUCGUUUUACAAAGGUGGACACAGAAACCUUGGUGGCAGUGUUUGUCCUCCCAAUAGGCCCAGUCUCACUGCAGGGCUGGAGAUGUGGGCCCUCCCCCAUGAGGAGAUGGGGUUGACUGCACACCCCCACACAGACACAGAUAACCCCCUUUGGGUUCAGGUGCAUGUGGGAAUGCCCCACCUGGAGGAGCCUCCUUGAAUCUCUACACCUCUGUCCAGGAGAGGGCCUGAUGGGAAUGUGGCCCUGCUCCCCCCACACCUCCCAGCCCUCCUAGGAGUCUCAUCUGUCCCCAUCCACCUGGCCACCAGUGAAGGACUGGCAGCACCAGAGACUGUAGAGGCCAGCGCCUCCUGCUGUCCAGCUGGGAAAGGUGAGGUACAGACCCCUCACUCCGCUACAGCAGGCCCAAGGUCAUACCACUGGGAAGUGACCUUGUAAACAGAGUGGCCAUUCAGGCAGGCAGGUUGUGGCAUGGGAUGGUGCCCAGUUACAAUCCCAGCUCCUCUUCAUGUGCUCCAGGAGAAGCAGCUGUAUCCUCUGUGCCUUGGUUUCUUUCUCAGGAACCCCAAGCCCUAAUACAUUUUCUCUGAUGUGAGAGGUGGUUGCAUGGGUCAGCGGAAAUCCCUACUUCAGGUGCUCAUUCCCUCAAAUCCUAAGGCCGUGGUGAAUGUCAGUCAUCAUUCUUGGUGGUGGUAAUAAUGGCAGCUCCAGUUUGGAGGCCCAGAGCAGGAAAAGGAUGUAGGGAGACCUGAUAGCUGGCAUACUCACUGUUUGAGGGACCUCGGGCAAGUGGGUUCUCCUGCUG
rnacentral:lncRNA from 1 species